rnacentral:rRNA from 1 species
UACGAAGGGUCCGAGCGUUGUCCGGAGUUACUGGGCGUAAAGCGCGCGCAGGCGGCGAUCUAAGUCUGGCGUGAAAGCCCCCGGCUCAACCGGGGAGGGUCGUCGGAGACUGGGUCGCUUGAGGGCGGUAGGGGCUGGUGGAAUUCCCGGUGUAGUGGUGAAAUGCGUAGAGAUCGGGAGGAACACCUGUGGCGAAGGCGGCCAGCUGGGCCGACCCUGACGCUGAGGCGCGAAGGCGUGGGGAGCGAACGGG